GACGAACGCUGGCGGCGUGCCUAAUACAUGCAAGUCGAACGCUUCUUUCCUCCCGAGUGCUUGCACUCAAUUGGAAAGAGGAGUGGCGGACGGGUGAGUAACACGUGGGUAACCUACCCAUCAGAGGGGGAUAACACUUGGAAACAGGUGCUAAUACCGCAUAACAGUUUAUGCCGCAUGGCAUAAGAGUGAAAGGCGCUUUCGGGUGUCGCUGAUGGAUGGACCCGCGGUGCAUUAGCUAGUUGGUGAGGUAACGGCUCACCAAGGCCACGAUGCAUAGCCGACCUGAGAGGGUGAUCGGCCACACUGGGACUGAGACACGGCCCAGACUCCUACGGGAGGCAGCAGUAGGGAAUCUUCGGCAAUGGACGAAAGUCUGACCGAGCAACGCCGCGUGAGUGAAGAAGGUUUUCGGAUCGUAAAACUCUGUUGUUAGAGAAGAACAAGGACGUUAGUAACUGAACGUCCCCUGACGGUACCUAACCAGAAAGCCACGGCUAACUACGUG
rnacentral:rRNA from 1 species